UUCUAUUUUAUUAUGUCCCAUAGACAUUGCAUUUUAACAGGACCCUCUCCAAUAUAUUCCAACUCUAAUUAUGAAAGCAGAACGAAAACGGCGCUUCUCACACUAUCCACGUCAUCAAAUUAAUAUCAACCGUAAGAUUCAGAUCCAGUGGACGCAAUCCGUCCUACUCCUCCCACUUGCCUCCACACAAAUAAACACAUUCUCUGCAUCUCCAGUCUCCACAUUGCCGGAGACUUCCAGACGCUUCCUCCCCCUCCCGAAAUUCCUCUCCCUCGACACCACACCCGCGUGAACACCCUCGUCGCCUCUCCCCAUGCUCUCCCAUGUCGCCUCCUUUCCAUCCCCGUCGCCCCUGCACCGCAGUGGCUCCCGCGCCCCCCUCAUCGCUGCCCCGCUCCUCCCUCAUCCGCAAGCCCUGGCGCACCUCAGUUCCAACCCCAGUUGCCUUCGUCCGCUGCUUCCACAUCCACCAUAGGAUGUCUCCCCUCCUCAGGUUCUUCGCCGACGAAGACGACGACAUCGAGUUCAUGGUCAUGCUGCGCCAGUUCGAACGCAUCACCGACGUGCGAAAGACGCUCGAUGUUAUGCCCCAACAGAAUGUGGUGUUCUGGACGAUGGUAAUCCGCUUUCUAUGGUUGUAUUUCAGAAAGGAAGAACAAUAUAUGAGAGACAGAGAGAGAGAUCAGUAUGAGUUGGAAAAGGGGAGGCUUAGAAAAUGAAGCGUCUAUGGGAUGAAGAUGGCUCACGCUUUAACAACUUCCAAAAUCUUCACCAUCGUUAUGCUUUCUGUAUACUUCAGAAAAACGAAUUUAAGAGGAAAGCUAAUGUACUGCCAACAACUGAAUUUGGAUGCCUGCUUAUCAGGUUUCAUUUGGACAUGCUGUUAGCUGUGUGAAUCCUGAAGUGUUGAUCCAAGUUUCUAUAUCAAUGCCAGGCUGAUUUCUUCCCAGGACGAAAAAGCAAAAGAAACUGCUACAAGAAAGAUGCAGUAUGAUUUUGGCAUGACAGGAAUCAUAAGAUUCCAUUUGAUGGAUACUCAGAUACAGGGGCUACCUGGUUCAUUUUUUUGAUGAUGUGCAACUUCAAACUGGUAUGCCCCUCUCCUAGAUCCAUCUAAAUCGCCGAUGGCGACCACCAGCAGCAGUCCCACCCCCACCCCGCUCCUCGCCUCGAUGUCUUUCCCCUCCUCGACGUGCUCUACCUCCCAUGGUCGGUACUGCUGAUUGUGCUCUCUCUGACCUCGCUCUCCUAGGGGAGGAGCCGGGAGCGAGAGGGGGAUCUCCACUCAUCAUCAUGACACUCGCUCCAAACACUCAGUGCCGGAUUCUCCGUGCUCCUGCACCACCCUGCCCUCGGCAGCGUUCCUCCUCCGCCCGCCCAGUGGAAUGCAAAGAGAUCCACCCGAGAGUCGGUGGAUUUGUUUCUCCCUCUAUUGGUAAGUCAUUCCUGGUCGGCCUUUGAUUGGACGGAUUAGUUUUGGUUCCUUUGUCGCCAGGCGAACCGAAUCUUGCUCCUCGGACUUUCAAGCACUAUAUCCUACACGUGCUGCUCUAUUUAAGUACCUUAAGAUGACCACAAUAUUUUUAUGGAAUACUGAGCCCAUUCUCUGCUUUUAAGAAUUGGUUGUCUUCAUGUGUCAUUAGUGGUUUUGAGUCCAACCUUGAAGUAAUUGUCGCUUCAAAAUAUCCAUCUAGCAUUUUGUGAAAGCACUCACUCUGUUCAACAAGCAUCAAAUUGGAAAACUGGCGCGUCAUAUUACAGCAGUAAUUUCAGUAUUUGAUACAAGGAUCUCCCUCAAAUUUGCUGAUAUAGCUAAGAAGAUAAUGCUGGUAGGUAAUAGUUUCUUUUAUUUUAAGUAUUUCUGGUGGACUUUGAAUGGUAGACCAUCCAAAUUUUCCCCUAUUUUUUUGCGGAUCCUAAUCUUUUGUAGCCAUGAUGUUAGAUAAUAGUUUCUUUUAUUUUUAUAAUUUCUGGUGAACUUUGAAUGGUGGUUCGUCCAGUUUUCCCUCUUUUAUUUUCCCUCUUAUUGUAGAUCCUAAUCUUUUGUAGCCAUGAUGAUUUAUUUUUUCUAGGGUAUGUUUUGUUAUAGGGUACUAGGUCACCAGAUGUUGCAACUUGCAACUGAUAAUUGUAUUCUUAAAUGUCAUCCCUUUCUGCCCAUUGAUUAUGUCUUAUUGUUUUCAUUCAAAGAGAGCUGCAAGUAUCUUAAUCGAUAUGUUGUCCUCUUCUCCAUGUGUUCAGUUUUCAAUAUGGAGGACACCAAUUCUACUACAUGCGCACCUUUUCUAUAUUAUGAAAGCAGAACGAAAACGGCGCUUCUCACACUAUCCACGUCAUCAAAUUAAUAUCAACCGUAAGAUUCAGAUCCAGUGGACGCAAUCAGUCCUACUCCUCCCACUUGCCUCCACACAAAUAAACACAUUCUCUGCAUCUCCAGUCUCCACAUUGCCGGAGACUUCCAGACGCUUCCUCCCCCUCCCGAAGUUCCUCUCCCUCGACACCACACCCGCGUGAACACCCUCGUCGCCUCUCCCCAUGCUCUCCCAUGUCGCCUCCUUUCCAUCCCCGUCGCCCCUGCACCGCAGUGGCUCCCGCGCCCCCCUCAUCGCUGCCCCGCUCCUCCCUCAUCCGCAAGCCCUGGCGCACCUCAGUUCCAACCCCAGUUGCCUUCGUCCGCUGCUUCCACAUCCACCAUAGGAUGUCUCCCCUCCUCAGGUUCUUCGCCGACGAAGACGAUGACAUCGAGUUCAUGGUCAUGCUGCGCCAGUUCGAACGCAUCACCGACGUGCGAAAGACGCUCGAUGUUAUGCCCCAACAGAAUGUGGUGUUCUGGACGAUGGUAAUCCGCUUUCUAUGGUUGUAUUUCAGAAAGGAAGAACAAUAUAUGAGAGACAGAGAGAGAGAUCAGUAUGAGUUGGAAAAGGGGAGGCUUAGAAAAUGAAGCGUCUAUGGGAUGAAGAUGGCUCACGCUUUAACAACUUCCAAAAUCUUCACCAUCGUUAUGCUUUCUGUAUACUUCAGAAAAACGAAUUUAAGAGGAAAGCUAAUGUACUGCCAACAACUGAAUUUGGAUGCCUGCUUAUCAGGUUUCAUUUGGACAUGCUGUUAGCUGUGUGAAUCCUGAAGUGUUGAUCCAAGUUUUUAUAUCAAUGCCAGGCUGAUUUCUUCCCAGGACGAAAAAGCAAAAGAAACUGCUACAAGCAAGAUGCAGUAUGAUUUUGGCAUGACAGGAAUCAUAAGAUUCCAUUUGAUGGAUACUCAGAUACAGGGGCUACCUGGUUCAUUUUUUGAUGAUGUGCAACUUCAAACUGGUAUGCCCCUCUCCUAGAUCCAUCUAAAUCGCCGAUGGCGACCACCAGCAGCAGUCCCACCCCCACCCCGCUCCUUGCCUCGGUGUCUUUCCCCUCCUCGACGUGCUCUACCUCCCAUGGUCGGUACUGCUGAUUGUGCUCUCUCUGACCUCGCUCUCCUAGGGGAGGAGCCGGGAGCGAGAGGGGGAUCUCCACUCAUCAUCAUGACACUCGCUCCAAACACUCAGUGCCGGAUUCUCCAUGCUCCUGCACCACCCUGCCCUCGGCAGCGUUCCUCCUCCGCCCGCCCAGUGGAAUGCAAAGAGAUCCACCCGAGAGUCGGUGGAUUUGUUUCUCCCUCUAUUGGUAAGUCAUUCCUGGUCGGCCUUUGAUUGGACGGAUUAGUUUUGGUUCCUUUGUCGCCAGGCGAACCGAAUCUUGCUCCUCGGACUUUCAAGCACUAUAUCCUGCACGUGCUGCUCUAUUUAAGUACCUUAAGAUGACCACAAUAUUUUUAUGGAAUACUGAGCCCAUUCUCUGCUUUUAAGAAUUGGUUGUCUUCAUGUGUCAUUAGUGGUUUUGAGUCCAACCUUGAAGUAACUGUCGCUUCAAAAUAUCCAUCUAGCAUUUUGUGAAAGCACUCACUCUGUUCAACAAGCAUCAAAUUGGAAAACGGGCGCGUCAUAUUACAGCAGUAAUUUCAGUAUUUGAUACAAGGAUCUCCCUCAAAUUUGCUGAUAUAGCUAAGAAGAUAAUGCUGGUAGGUAAUAGUUUCUUUUAUUUUAAGUAUUUCUGGUGGACUUUGAAUGGUAGACCAUCCAAAUUUUCCCCUAUUUUUUUGCGGAUCCUAAUCUUUUGUAGCCAUGAUGUUAGAUAAUAGUUUCUUUUAUUUUUAUAAUUUCUGGUGAACUUUGAAUGGUGGUUCGUCCAGUUUUCCCUCUUUUAUUUUCCCUCUUAUUGUAGAUCCUAAUCUUUUGUAGCCAUGAUGGUUUAUUUUUUCUAGGGUAUGUUUUGUUAUAGGGUACUAGGUCACCAGAUGUUGCAACUUGCAACUGAUAAUUGUAUUCUUAAAUGUCAUCCCUUUCUGCCCAUUGAUUAUGUCUUAUUGUUUUCAUUCAAAGAGAGCUGCAAGUAUCUUAAUCGAUAUGUUGUCCUCUUCUCCAUGUGUUCAGUUUUCAAUAUGGAGGACACCAAUUCUACUACAUGCGCACCUAAAGAGUCAAAAUUAUAUUGAAACAGGUUUGUAAAAUUACCUGAACGUCAGCAGAUUACUUCUUAGACAUGACAAAAGUGAAAAUUAUAUUCUGGAUGACAAUACAUCGAGCAAAAUUUGAGUUGAU